rnacentral:misc_RNA from 1 species
GGAAGAACGUAGCGAAAUGCGAUAAGUAGUGUGAAUUGCAGAAUUCAGUGAAUCAUCGAAUCUUUGAACGCACAUUGCGCCCCUUGGUAUUCCAUGGGGCAUGCCUGUUCGAGCGUCAUUUGUACCUUCAAGCUUUGCUUGGUGUUGGGUGUUUGUCUCGCCUUUGCGUGUAGACUCGCCUUAAAAUAAUUGGCAGCCGGCGUAUUGAUUUCGGAGCGCAGUACAUCUCGCGCUUUGCACUCAUAACGACAGCGUCCAAAAGUACAUUUUACACUCUUGACCUCGGAUCAGGUAGGAAUACCCGCUGAACUUAAGCAUAUCAAUAAGCGGAGGA